rnacentral:rRNA from 1 species
GACGAACGCUGGCGGCGUGCCUAAUACAUGCAAGUAGAACGCACAGUUUAUACCGUAGCUUGCUACACCAUACACUGUGAGUUGCGAACGGGUGAGUAACGCGUAGGUAACCUGCCUGGUAGCGGGGGAUAACUAUUGGAAACGAUAGCUAAUACCGCAUAAUAUUGAUUAUUGCAUGAUAAUUGAUUGAAAGAUGCUAUUGCAUCACUACCAGAUGGACCUGCGUUGUAUUAGCUAGUAGGUGAGGUAACGGCUCACCUAGGCGACGAUACAUAGCCGACCUGAGAGGGUGAUCGGCCACACUGGGACUGAGACACGGCCCAGACUCCUACGGGAGGCAGCAGUAGGGAAUCUUCGGCAAUAGACGAAAGUCUGACCGAGCAACGCCGCGUGAGUGAAGAAGGUUUUCGGAUCGUAAAGCUCUGUUGUAAGAGAAGAACGGGUGUGAGAGUGGAAAGUUCACACUGUGACGGUAUCUUACCAGAAAGGGACGGCUAACUACGUG